rnacentral:rRNA from 1 species
UACAGAGGGUGCAAGCGUUAAUCGGAGUUACUGGGCGUAAAGGGCGCGUAGGCGGUUAAUUAAGAUGGAUGUGAAAUCCCUGGGCUUAACCCAGGAACUGCAUCCAUGACUGAUAGACUAGAGUACUGUAGAGGGUAGUGGAAUUUCCGGUGUAGCGGUGAAAUGCGUAGAGAUCGGAAGGAACACCAGUGGCGAAGGCGGCUACCUGGACAGAUACUGACGCUGAGGCGCGAGAGCGUGGGGAGCAAACAGG